rnacentral:rRNA from 1 species
AUGGCAUCCACGACUAUUGGGCAGAGGGGAGACAAGGAGGCGAGGGAGAGAAGAAGGGACAAAGGAAAAGCGGUGCGGAGAGAAGAAGGCCGGAGCUCGCCGGAGCCGGGCGAUGGCGGACGGGCGCGGGAGACGGAGGGAAGGCCGGACCUCGCCGGAGCCGGGCGAUGGCGGACGGGUGCGGGAGACGGAGGGAUCCCGUGCGGGGGCUGGUUCCGACGACCACUGUUGCGUGGCCGCGGGAGGACAACACGCGCCGUCGCGCCGGAGCCGCCCAGGUCUCCUGUGUCUCUCCCCUUCCCCCCUUGCUCCUCUCUCUCUCUCUCUCUCUCUCUCUCUCUCUCUCUCUCUCUCUCUCGGAGCUCUUAUCAUCUCACCGCCGUCCUUCGUUUACAGGAGCAACCAUGGAUGCUCCGCGUUCAAGGUGUACAAGGCCGAUUUGGAGUGGUUCCCUCGCAAGCUCCUGCUAUUCCCCACCUCUCGCGACGUUCUGCAUCUAGAUUGUUUUCUUCAGUGGCAGGAAGGUUUCCAUGGAGGUACAGAAAGCGAGGUUCAAACAAUUCAGUGCAGCAGCAGCAACACCUCCAAGAUUGGGCGGUGCCCUAUGAUGUGAAGCCGGUGUAA